rnacentral:misc_RNA from 1 species
AACGCACCUUGCGCCCUCUGGUAUUCCGGAGGGCAUGCCUGUUUGAGUGUCACGUAGACUCAACCCAGUCGGGUUUACGACUGGGUUGGACUUGGGCGUUGCCGUCUGUGGCUCGUCUUAAAUGUGUUAGCGGUGCAGUUGACCGAACCUGGCGUGAUAAGUUUCGCCGGUACCAGGGGGCAUGCCCGCUCAGCCGCCCUCGGGCAAUUUUGACUCUGACCUCAAAUCAGGUAGGACUACCCGCUGAACUUAA